rnacentral:rRNA from 1 species
CCCCCCCGCCGGAAGACCAAGGGUUCCUAUCCAAUGCUAAUCAGGGUAGGGUGAGUCGACCCCUAAGGCGAGGCUGAAGAGCGUAGUCGAUGGGAAACAGGUUAAUAUUCCUGUACUUUUUGUUAUUGCGAUGGAGUGACGGAGAAGGCUAGGCCAGCACGGCGUUGGUUGUCCGUGUUUAAGGUUGUAGGUUUAGGACUUAGGAAAAUCCGGGUCCUUAUAAGACUGAGAAUUGAUGACGAACCCUCUUUUGGGUGAAGUGGUUGAUGCCAUGCUUCCAGGAAAAACUUCUAAGCUUCAGAUAACAAGAAAUCGUACCCCAAACCGACACAGGUGGUCAGGUAGAGAAUACCAAGGCGCUUGAGAGAACUCGGGUGAAGGAACUAGGCAAAAUGGUACCGUAACUUCGGGAGAAGGUACGCCGGUGCUGGUGAUGGGACUUGCUCCCUAAGCUAGCGCUGGUCGAAGAUACUAGGUGGCUGCGACUGUUUAUUAAAAACACAGCACUCUGCAAACACGAAAGUGGACGUAUAGGGUGUGACGCCUGCCCGGUGCUUGAAGGUUAAUUGAUGGGGUUAGCUUCGGCGAAGCUCUUGAUCGAAGCCCAAGUAAACGGCGGCCGUAACUAUAACGGUCCUAAGGUAGCGAAAUUCCUUGUCGGGUAAGUUCCGACCUGCACGAAUGGCGUAACGAUGGCCACACUGUCUCCACCCGAGACUCAGUGAAAUUGAAAUUGCGGUUAAGAUGCCGUAUAUCCGCGGCUAGACGGAAAGACCCCGUGAACCUUUACUAUAGCUUCGCAGUGGACUUUGAUAUUACUUGUGUAGGAUAGCUGGGAGGCUUUGAAAUCUGGACGCCAGUUCAGAUGGAGCCAAUCUUGAAAUACCAGCCUGGUACUAUUGAGGUUCUAACUCAGGUCCCUUAUCGGGAUCGAGGACAUUGUGUGGUGGGUAGUUUGACUGGGGCGGUCUCCUCCUAAAGAGUAACGGAGGAGUACGAAGGUGCGCUCAGCAUGGUCGGAAAUCAUGCAUCGAGUAUAAAGGCAUAAGCGCGCUUGACUGCGAGACUGACACGUCGAGCAGGUACGAAAGUAGGUCUUAGUGAUCCGGUGGUUCUGUAUGGAAGGGCCAUCGCUCAACGGAUAAAAGGUACUCCGGGGAUAACAGGCUGAUACCGCCCAAGAGUUCACAUCGACGGCGGUGUUUGGCACCUCGAUGUCGGCUCAUCACAUCCUGGGGCUGAAGCCGGUCCCAAGGGUAUGGCUGUUCGCCAUUUAAAGUGGUACGCGAGCUGGGUUUAGAACGUCGUGAGACAGUUCGGUCCCUAUCUGCCGUGGACGUUUGAGAUUUGAGAAGAGUUGCUCCUAGUACGAGAGGACCGGAGUGAACGAACCUCUGGUGUUCGGGUUGUCAUGCCAAUGGCAUUGCCCGGUAGCUACGUUCGGACAGGAUAACCGCUGAAAGCAUCUAAGCGGGAAGCCCCCUUCAAGAUGAGAUCUCACUGGGACCUUGAGUCCCCUGAAGAGCCGUUCAAGACCAGGACGUUGAUAGGCUGGGUGUGUAAGCGUUGUGAGGCGUUGAGCUAACCAGUACUAAUUGCUCGUGAGGCUUGACCAU